CGCAAGCCUGAUGCAGCAACGCCGCGUGAGGGAUGACGGCCUUCGGGUUGUAAACCUCUUUUAGUAGGGAAGAAGCCUUCGGGUGACGGUACCUGCAGAAAAAGCACCGGCUAACUACGUGCCAGCAGCCGCGGUAAUACGUAGGGUGCAAGCGUUGUCCGGAAUUAUUGGGCGUAAAGAGCUCGUAGGCGGCUUGUCGCGUCUGCUGUGAAAACCCGAGGCUCAACCUCGGGCCUGCAGUGGGUACGGGCAAGCUAGAGUGCGGUAGGGGAGAUUGGAAUUCCUGGUGUAGCGGUGGAAUGCGCAGAUAUCAGGAGGAACACCGAUGGCGAAGGCAGAUCUCUGGGCCGUAACUGACGCUGAGGAGCGAAAGCAUGGGGAGCGAACAGGAUUAGAUACCCUGGUAGUCCAUGCCGUAAACGUUGGG
rnacentral:rRNA from 1 species